rnacentral:rRNA from 1 species
UACGGGGGGGGCAAGCGUUGUUCGGAAUUACUGGGCGUAAAGGGCGCGUAGGCGGCCUGCUAAGUCGGAUGUGAAAUCCCUCGGCUCAACCGAGGAACUGCAUCCGAUACUGGCGGGCUUGAAUCCGGGAGAGGGAUGUGGAAUUCCUGGUGUAGCGGUGGAAUGCGCGAUAUCGAGGAGAACGAGCCGGUAGGCGGAAGGCGG